ensembl:lncRNA
GGUGUGCUAAGAUAUAGAUGUAUCAUAACUUAUUUCACAGCUCCCUUAACUGUAACACUUUUGUUGGUAACUCUUUGUCUUUCCAAUUUAAAUCUUAGUAAAUUAAAAAAAAAACAAACCUGUGCUACAUAACUUUUAAUAUUUAAAAAAAUUUUGUAAGAUAAAUUGAUAAAAAUGGACUGGCUGAUUAAAAAUUUUGCAUAUUUUAUGUUUUAAUAAAUGUUGAUAAAUAAUUUUGUACUCAAUCACUUGCUAAGUCAGAAAGUAUCAAGGAUCUAGUAUUCUCACAAGUGAAAACUCCAUUCUUUUAUUUGCUUUUCUUUAUGUAUUGAGAUUGAAGAUUUAGUAAAUUUUUUGAACUUUAUCUUUUUAUUUCCUUGUUCCUUUUUGGUGGUUCAUUGGCAUUGUCUUUUUAAUUUAGUUAAAAGUAAGUAAGUUAAAAAGUUAAGUAGUAAAAAGUAGUAUGUUGGCAGAUUGAGAGAUAUACAGUUAUUUUAUAAAUGUAAAAUUUACCCCAUUUUCCUCUAUUAAUAAAGAACCUACUAAGCAAUGGAUUAUGUCAGUGAUACAAUAAACUUUAUGUCAACCUGAUUUGAAAUACAAGGCUUUAUUAUCAAAUUUAAAUAAUUAAUUCUAUGUUAAUGUAGUUGUGUUUUAACCAUAGUCCACACAUUAUUGACAUUAUUCAUUAUGAAGAGAACAUUGAGAAAGGAAAAAAAAAUCUCCUUUUUAAUCUACUCCUCUCAAAAACUGAUGCAGAUGGAAAUGAAAUGUAUAUUCUUAUUAAAGGAGAAUGACAUUAUUCAAUAAGGGAUGCAAAGUUGAGAGAAAGAUUUAGUCUCCUAUUUCCUCCUAUUUAUACUUGCUGAUAUUACACCUAAAUGUUUACUUGUACCUCAGAAUGAAUGCAUUUUUCACUCUCCAAUCUAAUGCAAUGACCCUCAAUUCUUUUCCUCACAUUUCUAUUGCAUAGAUUCUAAAGACAAACACAGAAAGAUACCAAGAUUGAGCUAAAGCAAUCUAAAUCUUUCCAGGAAAAAAAAAUGCUUACGAAUAAGCAAAACAAAGAUGUUGUAAACAAGCAAGAGUUAACCUACACAGAACUGAAAAUGUCCAAAUCUCAACAGAAGCAAAAAACACCCAAGAAAAACCAAAGCAAUGUCAUAUCAAGUGAACAAGUAACUUACGUGGAAAUAAAAUUUCCCAGAACUUCUCAUCUUCAGCGCAGAAAACAGCUGUUUAGGAAAAACAGAAAAGGUACAAUAUUAUAUAUAUUUUGUUAUUAGCUAGAUCUUAACCCUUGGUUUAGAAGAUUUCGUUCUCUCAAAAUCAUUAUAAAAUUGCCACAUUACACUAAUUACCUAUCGGCAGCACUCUCCUUAAUUAUGCUAGGAUAUUACCAUGAAAUAGCGUGUCUGAAAUAGUCCUUCGCUAUGGUCAUUUCCUCUAAAUGGCACUGAUCCGAAUUCCAACAGAACUGCAUUUCUUGCAAGAACAACUGCAUAAAUUGCUUCUUCGGAGCAUUAUUUUAAAAAUUAUUUUAAAAAUAAUUCUUGUUAUUAGUCUUCAGUUCAGUCUCAGUCCCACAACUAUUUUUGGAAUUUUUACUAUAAGCUGAUCUGAACUUAGGGUUCAGUAAUGAAGAAAUAAUAACCUCUUAGCUUCAAAAAAGUAACAGAAUUUGUUGGAGGAAAGGCAGAUUAUAGAAAAAGAAAAGAAUAUUUUGGAGGUAAGGCUUAUAAAACUUCAUGAUUAAUUGGAUAUUAGAGGUAAAGAUGACAACUGAGUAGAAUAUGAUAACAAGGCUUCUAACUUAAGUGACUGAGUAGUUAACCAUCUUAUCCACCAUUAAAAAAUGUUUAAUCCAGUAAAAGUUAGAUCAUAUAUGGCAUCUGAAUUGUUUUUUGAUCAGUUCAGAGGAAAAUAUCCUAAUGAAAUUGGAUUUAAAAAACUGGAUCUCCAGGGAGAGGAUGGAAAUGUAUGGGAAAGACUUAUGUAAGUAGGUAAUAUUGCAAACAGAGAUGAUGUGGAUGAAAAUUCUAUUAUCACUUGAGCAGAGAAAGACUCAAGACAGGUAUAUGCGAAAUACAUGUCCUGAGAAAAGGAGAAAAUAAACUAUGUCUAAUAAAGUACAAGUGGAAAAUUAUUUCCUUGUAUUAACAAUUGGGGUUUUAGUUUGAUUAUGGAGAAAGACAACAAGUUACAACUAAGAUUUAAGGGGUUGAAAGAAAUGUAAUAUGGAAAUAAAAUGAGUCCAGAAAGAAUUUUUACAGUUUUCACUGAAAAAGACAGCAUAAGAAAAAUGGUAAUGAAAAAUGAAAAACAUGAACUAAGACAAGGGAUUAUAUUAGAUUUUGAGAGGUUUGAAGCCAUGUGUAAACUAACUGGAGUUUAUCAAGAAAGAUGGUGAAGAAAUGGACAAAAAAAGAGAAACUUAGAGAAUAAAUGUUCUAGAGGGGACUAGGUGGCAGGGAGUAAAUAGGACAUAUGAAAGGCUUGAGUUGAGCCAUAGAGAAAUCGCUCAUCAUCUGAAACAAAAAGGAGAUGUUGACAAUAAGGUAUGAACAUAUAAAAAUAUAAAUAUAUACAUACCAGUAUGGGGGUGAGCAAGUUAAGGGAAUUCAUAGCCUCAACAUCCUUGGUGAAAUAAAAGCAAUUUCUUGGUGUUUGGAUAGAGCCUUGGCGAGGCUUGAUAAUUUAUUUAUUUAUUUAAUAAUCAGAGGACUUUGGGCAGAAGUUGACCACAACUAAGGAGAUUAGACACAUUAUUUAGCCCCCUCAUUGUUUAAUCUCCGAGUCUGGGAAAAAAUUUAAAAUCUUUCAUCUUUAACACAUUCAAGUAAUUAUGAAGUAUCAUGUGUCCAAGCCAACCUGCUUCUCUCUUGGAUUGAGGUCCCUCUGUUUUCACCAAAAUUACUGAGACAGACCACCCAAAGUCUCUCAUCUUCCACUCUAGGCACUUUUCAGUCCUUUCUUUAUGUCUCAAGAAACAUACUUAGAAUUGAGAGUAUUUUACUCGUUUAGAAGAAAGCUAAACCUUGAAGAUCAUGUUCCCCUAAUCAUGUGUGCUGCGGAUAGCCUUCCUAACUUUGGUAUGCUGUGCAGGACACUGAAACGAGUCAGGCAAUUGAUUGUGAAUUCCUUCAAGCUUCCUUUUAAAAUUAUUUUUAAAAUUAAUUAUUUUAGCUAUUAUUUUAAAUUAAUUUUAAUUUUUAAAAUUUAAUUAUUUUUAUUAUUCUUUAAUUUAAUUUUUAAAAUUAAGAUUAUUUUGUACCUCUGCCUCUAUCUGGCAUUUGAGCUCAGCGAUGAGGCACCCACAUGAGUUAACCAGGGCCACGGUAUACGCCAUCAGGAUUCUGAAGAUCAGCAGAAGGGGCACAGCAAAAGCCUGGAUCCCCAGGAAGAAGAGAAAAUUCUGGGCAAUCUGGGGGAGACUGCAAAUAAACUCAGGCCCAAAUGGGCAAUGGCCCCCGGAAUGGACCACACAACUUAGAAGGUGGGAUCAGGAAGAUGCUAUAAAGCACAGGAAUGGCAGAGAUGGGCAGAUCCAGGAGAAGGACCAGGGGAAAAAGAAGUUCACAGUAGAGGCCAGAAAUGUGCAGGAGGCCGGGGAGCAGAUAGAGAAGAAAAUGAUGACUUUUCAAAAGAAAUUCCUGAAAAGAUCCCCUACUGUUCCUAAAGUUAAAAAAAUAUAUAUUAACGCUACAGUCCUAUGGGCUAGUUCACCACCUCCACUCCCUCCUUGGCUCUCUGUGUUCCAGUCAGAUUACAAUUUCAGUUCCACAAAUGCACCAAGCCUCCUGUCACCCAACAGCAUUGAUUAACAUUGCCUUUCUGAGUGGACGACCCCUAUUUCAAGAAAUAAUUCUCACUUUCCUCCAACUUUCAGUACAAUGUCAUUUUUUAUAGAAACAUUUCCCAUCUUCAUGUGUCUAACUUAAAAGAAAAAAAUGUAUUUUGUUAUUUACCCCUUGACUAAUACAUGGACUGAUUGUUUGAAUGGCUAGUAAAUGAACAUUAAUAUUUAUAUGGAAUUUGGAAAUAUUUUUGUUUGCAUGGCAAUAUUAUUUCCUCUAGGAGUAUUUCAUUUCUAAGUUUACUAGCAGAGAGUAUCUUUUUUGGGGGGGUUGCUCAGAGUUAAUAAUUUGUAGAAUACUGGGCAAAGAAGGUUCAAAGAUGCUAGUGAAGAUGAUUGAGGAGACAUACCCAGGGCCUCAGGUAGGAAAAGAAAGAAGAUCAAGAAAGAGCUAAUGAGGAAAUAUAGGUGUCAAAGAACUAAGGUUUGGAGUUCUCUGGUGGCCAUUGGUUAAGGAUCUGGCACUGGCACUGAACACAUUCAACACAUUCAAGAAUUAGAAAAUAGACGGAUGCCCUCUGAGAGUGAAACAAUGAUCUUAAAUUUUAUAUUUGAUGACUUCUUGGAAAUGGUAAAAUUUAAUCGGUGUUUCUGUUUCUUUAGUGUUAGACCACCAGUCUACAGCAUGGCAGGUAGUAACUGCGAGUCUGGGGAUCUUGUGUGUGGCCUUGAUGACAACAGUGGGUGUCUUGCUUGCAAACCUAUUUUCUAGCAGAGAAGACCAAAACCAAAAAAUAUCACCUGUUCCCACUCUAUCUUCCGAAGAUGAUAAAUGUUCCUAUGACCUUUGUUCAACCUACUGGAUUGGAUUUGGAAAUAGUUAUUACUGUCUUUUCAAUAAGCCCAAAACCUGGGCAGAGAGCCAUGUUGCCUGUGCAGAGCUGAAUUCCCACCUUCUAAAGCUAGAUAUCAAGGAAGAGCUGGAAAUUACAUCAACGCUUGAAAUGAAAGGAUGGAUCGGUCUCAAAAUCAAUGAAACAAAUGAAUUCUGGUUAUGGGAAGAUGGCACUGCAGUUAAUGAAAGCCUAUCAGAAUUUCUGAAAAUGGGGGACUAUGGUUGUGCAUAUAAAGAAGGAAAUUAUAUUUACGGUGAUAAUUGUUCAUCUGGGAAAAGUUAUGUCUGUGAGUUUAGUAUGUAGCAGCUGUUAGCAGCUAUUUUGCUAAUACAUGUUGUUACUGAAUCCUAAUUUAAUAAAAUAAAUUAGAAAGUA